rnacentral:rRNA from 11 species
UCCCAGCGGUGGAUAUCUUGGCUCUCGCAUCGAUGACGAACGCAGCAAACCGCGACAGGUAGUGUGA